rnacentral:rRNA from 1 species
AACGUAGGUGGCGAGCGUUAUCCGGAAUUACUGGGCGUAAAGCGCGUGCAGGCGGGCUAGCAAGUGGUGUAUGAAAGCUCCCGGCUCAACCAGGAAGGGUUAUGCCAGACUGCUAGUCUUGAGUGCGAGAGAGGAGCGUGGAAUUCCGGGUGUAGUGGUGAAAUGCGUAGAGAUCCGGAGGAACCCCAGAGGCGAAGGCGGCGCUCUGGCUCGCAACUGACGCUCAGACACGACAGCAUGGGGAGCGAACGGG